GGGUGGCUUUCUGCCACCCACAUAAUCUUGAGGAUUAUCCCUUGUCAUGCAGCCUGGAAGGCAAGAACUCUUGAGCCAGGGUUUUGGGGCCAGGGUCAGAAAUUCCCCUGGCAGAGCCCUGCCCCUAGAUUCACAGCUUUCCCCUUCCCAUUGAAAUAUCUAUGAGGCCCAUGUGUCUGCCCCUGGAUCAGACCCAGACAGGGAGGGGCUGCUGAUGCUGGUAGAGACAGGGCUGAGGCCACAGGUACAAAUCCACUUUCUCUUUGAGGGUGGGGACAAGAGGUGGGGGCUGGAGCCCUGGAGUCCCUGGCUUCACAAUUUAGGAAAGAGGGUCUCCAAGCCCUCUGAGGUUUGGAGUCCAGUCUCCUCUCUCCUGAAGCUGAGAGCUGGAAGAGAUGGACAUAUUAAGGUUUUUGAGUUUCUCUGAGAAAUGAUGUGAAAUGUAUGCAAGGUGAUGCCAGUCAGAAUUAAUUAUCCUUGAAUCAACAACCUGGUGUCAAUGAAAAAAUGCUUUGUAGUCUGGGAUAGGAGGCAGGUUUACCCCAGCCAUAACUGAGACUGGAAGAGUGGGGUUGCCCCAUUUCCAGUCAAUUCACUCCGCAAAACACUGAAGAGAAUUCGAAGAAAAGGAGAAAACUGCAACAAAGUAGGACUGUCACGUGCUCUGAGCAGUGACGAGGUCUCUCACAUAUCCUAGAGUUCUUUAAAUGGAGGCAAUCAGCCCUGCAUCUCUUCCCAAAGCACUGCAGUCUCCUCUGACCCCACCUCAUCUGACUCAUCAUCUGGGAAACAAGGGGAGCCCAGCGGGGCCAAGGGAGUACAAAGCUGUAGUUGCCCCUCCAGAUCACCUUGUUCCUCAACUAGCACCCCUGAAAGCCAAUCAGGGACCCCAUAAGGGCAGGCAGAAGUGAGGGUGGGAGGGGCAGUGUCCCUCAAGGAUUGGGGGACCUCAGGACCUCUCUGGCUAAAUCAUGUUUGAAGUUUGGUAGAAAGGGCUUCCUAAGGUGACACCUUUUUAAGGUGUUGGAGCCUUAAGAUUUGGAGGUAGGUUGGGUUCAGGUGAGCGUCCAGUGCUUUCCUGCAGCACCGUCACAGCCUUACUUCAGUGAGGGAAGGAAGGAGAGCUGUUAAUGAGAAGCAGUUCUAUGGCCUGAAGACCUGGGCUCAAAACAAAACCAGCAAACAAAAAAGACCUGAGCUCUGCCUUUUAUUAGCUGUGUGAUCAUGGAUAUAUUAGUUAACCUCUCUGGGCCAAACUCUAUCUGCAAAAUAGAAUACUGGUAUCCACCUCACAGAGUUGAAGGAUCAGCUGAAGCAACCUAAAGCAUCUAGCUAGUGCCCAGCACCCAGCAGGCCCAGGGGAUGCAGUGGGGCUGACAGUGGGGGCUGACAGUGGAAGCUCUAGCUGGCCUUAGCUCCAGCUCAUACCCUUUAGGUCUAGGAGCCAGUGUGUGUCUGUCUCCUCUCCUCUGGGCCCAGUGAUUGCUUAGGUGACUGGGGUGACAGGCAAGUGGGUGGAGGGAAUGGGAAAGAGUGUGCCCUGGGAUCUGAGGGCUUUAUCCCAGGACUAGACUGCCCUCUGGUUUUGGGCAGACCUAGCACAGUGAUCCUGCUUCCUAGCUGGGGUAGCCCACCCUCACCUCAACGAUGGUGAAACUGCUGUGCCUCCUGCUGUUGAGGCAACCUGGAGGCAGAGAAACCUA